rnacentral:rRNA from 1 species
AAACCCUAUCAAACUCCGAAUACCAGAGAUAGUAGCAUGGGAGUCAGACUAUGGGUGCUAAGAUCCGUAGUCGAAAGGGAAACAACCCAGAUCGCAAUCUAAGGUCCCUAAAUCUAGACUAAGUGGUUAAGGAUGUAAAUUUUCAUAGACAGCCAGGAGGUAGGCUUAGAAGCAGCCACCCUUUAAAGACAGCGUAACAGCUCACUGGUCGAUGAAAAUUUGCGCCGAAAAUGAAUCGGGGCUAAGUCUAGUACCGAAGAUGCGGAUUGUAUAUUUAUAUACAGUGGUAGAGGAGCGUUCUUAGUGGAAUGAAGCAUUACCGUAAGGAGAUGUGGACUGCUAAGAAGUGAGAAUCCUGGCAUGAGUAGCGACAAAAGUGGUGAGAAUCCACUUCACCGUAAGCGUAAGGGUUCCUGGGCAAGGCUCGUCCUCCCAGGGUUAGUCGGGACCUAAGGCGAGGCCGAAAGGCGUAGUCGAUGGAAAACAGGUUAAUAUUCCUGUACCACCUAUUAUGAGUGAUGGGGUGACGGAGAAGGAUAGAUCAGCCAAGUGUUGGAUUACUUGGUUCAAGCAUGUAGAAGUAAGGAAUAGGCAAAUCCGUUCCUUUUUAACUUUGAGAUGUGAGUACGAGAGACCUAGUCUCAUAAAGUGAUUGAUUCCAUGCUUCCUAGAAAAACCUCUAAGUGUUGAUUAAUAGGUGCUCGUACUGUAAACGGACACACGUACGCGGGUAGAGUAUACCAAGGUGUUUGAGAUAAUUAUGGCUAAGGAACUCGGCAAAAUAGCUCCGUAACUUCGGAAGAAGGAGUGCCUAUAUUAGGUGAAAGCUCUUGCAGCUGGAGCCGAAGUAGGUGGCACUGAAAUGGUGGAAGCGACUGUUUACCAAAAACACAGGCCUGUGCUAACCCGCAAGGGGAUGUAUACGGGCUGACGCCUGCCCGGUGCUGGACGGUUAAGGGGAUGGGUUAUCCUUCGGGAGAAGCUUAGAACCGAAGCCCCAGUAAACGGCGGCCGUAACUAUAACGGUCCUAAGGUAGCGAAAUUCCUUGUCGUCUAAUUAGCGACCCGCAUGAAUGGCGUAACGACUUCUAUGCUGUCUCGGCCAUAAUCUCAGCGAAAUUGUAGUGCUGGUGAAGAUGCCAGCUUCCCGUUGUGGGACGGAAAGACCCCGUGCACCUUUACUAUAACCUAGCACUGGAUUUUGAUGUUAAAUGCGUAGGAUAGGUGGGAGACUUUGAAGAUUCGAUUUCGGUUGGAUCUGAGUCGUUGGUGAAAUACCACCCUUUUAGUGUUAGGAUCCUAACUGUAAUCCGUUAUCCGGAUUAAGGACAAUGUUAGGCGGGUAGUUUGACUGGGGCGGUUGACUCCUAAAGAGUAACGGAGUCGCUCAAAGGUUCUCUCAGCCUGAUUGGAAACCAGGCGUCGAGUGUAAUGGCACAAGAGAGCUUGACUGUGAGAUCGACAGAUCGAGCAGGUACGAAAGUAGGACAUAGUGACCCGGUGGCUUCCAUGUGGGAGGGCCAUCGAUCAUCGGAUAAAAGGUACGCCGGGGAUAACAGAUUAAUCGCGCCCAAGAGUUCACAUCGACGGCGCGGAUUGAUACCUCGAUGUCGGCUCAUCGCAUCCUGGGGCUGAAGAAGGUCCCAAGGGUUAGGCUGUUCGCCUAUUAAAGCGGUACGCGAGCUGGGUUCAGAACGUCGUGAGACAGUUCGGUCCCUAUCUACAACGGGCGAAGGAAAAUUGAGAGGGCUUGCUCCUAGUACGAGAGGACCGGAGUGAACAAACCUCUAGUGUAUGAGUUGUUGUGCCAACAGCAGUGCUCAGUAGCUACGUUUGGAAAGGAUAACCGCUGAAAGCAUCUUAAGUGGGAAGCCUGCCUCAAGAUUAAUUUUCCCGAACCAUUAGGUUCCUGAAGAUCACUCGAAGACUACGAGUUUGAUAGGCACAAAGUGUAAGUCCUGUAAGGGAUUCAGCUAAUGUGUACUAAUCGAUCGUGAGCCUUACUACG